CCCUUAGAUGUUCUGGGCUGCACGCGCGCUACACUGAAGCGUUCAACGAGUAUUCACCUUGCCCGGGAGGGUUGGGUAAUCUUUUCAAAACGCUUCGUGAUGGGGAUAGAUUAUUGCAAUUAUUAAUCUUCAACGAGGAAUUCCUAGUAAGCGCGAGUCAUCAGCUUGCGUCGAUUACGUCCCUGCCCUUUGUACACACCGCCCGUCGCUCCUACCGAUUGGGUGUGCUGGUGAAAUGUUCGGAUCGGCCGUUUGUCGCGGUUUCCGCGUCAUGUGGCUGAGAAGUUCAUUAAACCCUCCCACCUAGAGGAAGGAGAAGUCGUAACA
rnacentral:rRNA from 1 species